CGCAACCCUAAGCUGCGGACAGAUGUUAGUUACCUAACACGGAUGUCAAUUAUUCACAUACUGAUAGGCAAGUUGCUGUAAGUACAUUGAAUACAUUAUUACUUUGAAGAUCAAGGACGGUUUUUAUCAAGACAUAGCAAGACAAGUAAUCGAGGCGUGGUCGGACUUAUUGUAUAUAAAUCAGAGCAUGCGUUCAACUGAUAUCACUUGUGAAAACUCUUCCAAGCAACUCUAUAACAAUGUUCUUCAAACUGUUUGCGUUAUUUGCUCUGGUUGCGGUGGCGUUCGCCAGCCCCAAGCCUGAGCCUCAAGUUUUAGCCUACGGUGCUGGAAUCUUACCUUCUUACCCCUACUAUUCCUCUGGUAUCUACGCUGCUGCCGCUCCUUUCAAUGCACUCCCCUACGCUUACAACGGAUACCUUCUUCGCUAAGAUAAGUUAUAAGGUCACAUAAUAGUCAUGCAUUUUAAGAUUUUUUUAAAUAAUUGUUACACCUUUGUUUUAAGAAAUUUUCUAUGUUCAUGUUAUGGUGACCUUAGCCGACUUCUCGCUAGAUCAAUGAAUUGGAAAUGCCUAACGUUUAAAUAAAUUUUUAUGCAUA